CAGUAGCCGCGGGAACACAGAGGGUGCGAGCGUUAAUCGGAUUUACUGGGCGUAAAGCGUGCGUAGGCGGCUUCUUAAGUCGGAUGUGAAAUCCCUGAGCUUAACUUAGGAAUUGCAUUCGAUACUGGGAAGCUAGAGUAUGGGAGAGGAUGGUAGAAUUCCAGGUGUAGCGGUGAAAUGCGUAGAGAUCUGGAGGAAUACCGAUGGCGAAGGCAGCCAUCUGGCCUAAUACUGACGCUGAGGUACGAAAGCAUGGGGAGCAAACAGGAUUAGAUACCCCGGUAGUCCCUGUCUCUUAUAC
rnacentral:rRNA from 1 species